GUUGUGGAUUGGAUCUGAUUGUGGUGGCACCCUUUGCAAGUGCACAAAGGGGUGUGGGAUGAGUACUCAUUGCACCUUUCUUCAUGUGUUUUUGCACACCCACGCAAUGCUGGCCUAAAUACAGUUCAUAUUAAAAUUCAUAAAUCUGGUGUUGCUUUGAAUUAGUACAGCAGCAUGCCUCCUGGCAGACAUGUGGUGUGUUAACAAGCUGAAGGAAUCAGAAGGAAUCAGCUUUCCCAAAACUGCAGUCGCAACGCCGUGUCACGUUUCACCUACCAGACGGCUCCCAGGAAAGCUGCAGUGACAGUGGGCUUGGAGACCAUGAACCCAGCAGCAGUGCUAGCACAUCGCAUCCUCUGCCCCUUGGUUUCCCCCAAGAGGAGUACUAUGAACAGGCUUCGCCCAACAGUCGGACAGAAGGAGAUGGCAAUUCGGACCCGGAGUCCACUCCUACACUACCAUCAGAAUUACUUUUUUCUCUAAAAGUUUGAAUGAAGUUGUGCUCCUACUGACUGUUGUUUUGAAUAUUUGAUCUUCAAGUGUCCGUUUCUACUAUAUUUUUCUUCAAGUUUCCCAGGAUACAAGUUUUGCUUACAAGCACUUUGACCACAUGUUUGAAGGAUUGCAAGAUUGAAUACAAUAUAUGACACUACUGCUGUUCUUUAUUUACAAAAACAUUAUCCACAUCAGAGUAUAUCCAAAGGUUAUCCAAGAAGCCUCAUAAGUUGAAGUGCUGAAAUUAAUAUUUUAAUGGUAUGUAAGAAGUUAUAUUUGACAUAUUCAAAAUAACAUAAAAAGUGGGCUUUUCUAUAAAUCACAUUGUAUAAAAUGGAAUGAAAUAUGUGACUUCACAAUAUAUCUAUUGCUAUAGUUAUGUAAGGCUUGCUACUUUAUCUACUCUUUAAAAAUAAUGGGUAGGUAGUAUUUUUCUUUGUAUCCCAAGAAUUCAAAAACAGUGACUUUACAUGUGAAAAAACGAAAAUCAGC
rnacentral:lncRNA from 1 species